GAGUUUGAUCCUGGCUCAGGAUGAACGCUAGCUACAGGCUUAACACAUGCAAGUUGAGGGGCAGCAUGGUCUUAGCUUGCUAAGGCCGAUGGCGACCGGCGCACGGGUGAGUAACACGUAUCCAACCUGCCGUCUACUCUUGGACAGCCUUCUGAAAGGAAGAUUAAUACAAGAUGGCAUCAUGAGUCCGCAUGUUCACAUGAUUAAAGGUAUUCCGGUAGACGAUGGGGAUGCGUUCCAUUAGAUAGUAGGCGGGGUAACGGCCCACCUAGUCUUCGAUGGAUAGGGGUUCUGAGAGGAAGGUCCCCCACAUUGGAACUGAGACACGGUCCAAACUCCUACGGGAGGCAGCAGUGAGGAAUAUUGGUCAAUGGGCGAGAGCCUGAACCAGCCAAGUAGCGUGAAGGAUGACUGCCCUAUGGGUUGUAAACUUCUUUUAUAAAGGAAUAAAGUCGGGUAUGCAUACCCGUUUGCAUGUACUUUAUGAAUAAGGAUCGGCUAACUCCGUGCCAGCAGCCGCGGUAAUACGGAGGAUCCGAGCGUUAUCCGGAUUUAUUGGGUUUAAAGGGAGCGUAGAUGGAUGUUUAAGUCAGUUGUGAAAGUUUGCGGCUCAACCGUAAAAUUGCAGUUGAUACUGGAUAUCUUGAGUGCAGUUGAGGCAGGCGGAAUUCGUGGUGUAGCGGUGAAAUGCUUAGAUAUCACGAAGAACUCCGAUUGCGAAGGCAGCCUGCUAAGCUGCAACUGACAUUGAGGCUCGAAAGUGUGGGUAUCAAACAGGAUUAGAUACCCUGGUAGUCCACACGGUAAACGAUGAAUACUCGCUGUUUGCGAUAUACGGCAAGCGGCCAAGCGAAAGCGUUAAGUAUUCCACCUGGGGAGUACGCCGGCAACGGUGAAACUCAAAGGAAUUGACGGGGGCCCGCACAAGCGGAGGAACAUGUGGUUUAAUUCGAUGAUACGCGAGGAACCUUACCCGGGCUUAAAUUGCAGAUGAAUUACGGUGAAAGCCGUAAGCCGCAAGGCAUCUGUGAAGGUGCUGCAUGGUUGUCGUCAGCUCGUGCCGUGAGGUGUCGGCUUAAGUGCCAUAACGAGCGCAACCCUUGUUGUCAGUUACUAACAGGUCAUGCUGAGGACUCUGACAAGACUGCCAUCGUAAGAUGUGAGGAAGGUGGGGAUGACGUCAAAUCAGCACGGCCCUUACGUCCGGGGCUACACACGUGUUACAAUGGGGGGUACAGAGGGCCGCUACCACGCGAGUGGAUGCCAAUCCCAAAAACCUCUCUCAGUUCGGACUGGAGUCUGCAACCCGACUCCACGAAGCUGGAUUCGCUAGUAAUCGCGCAUCAGCCACGGCGCGGUGAAUACGUUCCCGGGCCUUGUACACACCGCCCGUCAAGCCAUGGGAGCCGGGGGUACCUGAAGUGCGUAACCGCGAGGAGCGCCCUAGGGUAAAACUGGUGACUGGGGCUAAGUCGUAACAAGGUAGC
rnacentral:rRNA from 1 species